AUCGAAUCUGCAAAUUAAACAUGAUCUAUUGGACCAUAAACAUCAAGUAAAUUAUUCUUGAAUAAUAAUCGCAUGCUUAUAAAUUAGUAGCACUGUUGGAAUCAAGAAUUUUAUUUGCAGCCAUGUUAAAGCCAAAUUUGUUGAAUUGAUCUUUGGCACAACCCUCAGAAUUAAAAACAUAGUUACACAGUGGAUCCAAAUAAGGAAGCAUGCAUACUUGAUAUUAAUACGAACUAGUCUAAUGUUGUUACCUUGCUUUGACCCAUCGUCAAUUGAACUCGAGUCUGCAAAAGUUUUCUUCUAAUUUUGUUGUGAUCCAUCGGGUUCCGCCCAUAGCUCCUAGCAAUUCUGUUAGGGUUUUUUUGUUGCAGUCCUUUC
rnacentral:lncRNA from 1 species